UACGUAGGGUGCGAGCGUUAAUCGGAAUUACUGGGCGUAAAGCGUGCGCAGGCGGUUCGUUAUGUCCGAUGUGAAAGCCCCGAGCUCAACUUGGGAAUGCAUUGGAAACUGGCGGGCUGGAGUGUGGCAGAGGGGGGUGGAAUUCCGACGUGUAGCAGUGAAAUGCGUAGAGAUGUGGAGGAACACCGAUGGCGAAGGCGACUACCUGGCCUGUUCUUGACGCUGAGGCGCGAAAGCUAGGGAGCAAACGGG
rnacentral:rRNA from 1 species